GAGACUGGCUUGUGGAAAAAGGUCUUUUUACCAAUACAGGCAAACACCUCAUGUCCCAAAAUGGCCGGUGAUGAGCUUCUAAUGCGGUUAGGGUUCUGUAGAGCCUUGGUGACAGGCAAUGUGAAAGCAAACUGGGUGUGCGUUAAUGUGCAAAUACGAUCACUUAUUUGCAGCUGUUAAGACCGAGCACUGAGCUAGGCUCGUGGUGGUUAUAUUAAUAGAACCUACAGGCAGGAACAAAUGUAGCGGGGAGUGCAGAUAGGGAACCACGAUCAUCACACAGCCGUCCUUCAUGGAGAGACAGCAGCACUGGACUUUACCUGGAAACCUGGCUCCAUAAUCAGCGCACUAACAAUGUUCCAGCGUUAUGUGAAGAACCAACGAGACAGUAUCUGCUGUAGACCUGUUGCUUCAGUUGGCGAAUUGGAGCAACUCCCAAGUCAGCACUCAAACAGGAGCUGAUGUGCUUCAACACCAGCCUCUCAAAGCACUUCAUACUUGUGGAGUCCUCUCGAACUUGUAAUGACAAACACUUCAGCCAUCUGAUCCUUGAAUACACCCCAUGACUGAGAAUCCACAGCCCUCUGGGAUGGAGAAUCAGGCAGCCACAAGAAAUCCAAAGGAGCCCAUUAUAAAAAAAGACUAACAAACACCCAAUGUAGAGAGCGAGAGAAAAAACACAAAUUGUGCAAACAACAAAAGCAAGCAACAGCAUUCAGAACGAAAGUGAAUCCAUAGACCCAAAGCCCAGAACAGCCGGAGCAGGCCCACACCCUCCGCUGUGGAGAGCGGAGUAAAUAUCACGGAGGAGGGAGAAAGGAGCAAACUGGAAGGAGGACAGUGACGUUGGGAGAAGAAUCAAAAAAAUAGAGCCCGUCAUUACAGAGAAAUUAUCAAUAUGUCCUACAGGGAAUUUAGGAGAAAGGUGAACGAGUCCAGAGGCCUGAAGGCCAAAGCCCACAGGUCAAAGCCCCGAGGCCGGUGGAUCUGGAGGUUGGAGGUCCGAUCUUUGCAAGACUGGAGUCACAGUCUGAAGGUUAUAGGCCUGGAUGCAGCCUGUACUGGGGUUGGGGGCCCACUUUUGUGUGUGUAGGUGGGGGGGGGAGGGGUUUAUUUUGCUGUUAUUUGCUUGUUCUAUGUUGGUUGCCUGUUGGUCUGCUGAACAUCGUGGGCAUGCUGUGUGUUACGUAUGUAAUACUUUGGACACAAGUCGGGGGCUGAUCACCCCCGGCUGGGUCGACCGGGCGAGGGUGUCUGAUGAUUAAAGACCCGAAACACCCUCUAACCCCAGGUUCAUCACUGAAGGCGUGUCCAAGUAGCACCAGAGGUGUAUUCUACAACAACUGAGUAACCUUGGAUGUGUGUGUGUGUAUGUGUAUAUAUACUAUUUAAAUUAAUUAUGGGUUAUAUGUAAAGAUAUAUUAAUUGCAUACACCAUCACACUACCAUGUUACACAGCGCUCCUUGUUAAAAAUAAACUUAAAGUUUAACUUGCAUUCCCGGACUCCCGUGUUUUCUUUGACUUAACUUAAUGUUACGUUUUGAACUUCAAAACAUCGUGUUUUACACC